rnacentral:rRNA from 1 species
ACAAGCGGUGGAGCAUGUGGUUAAUUCGAAGCAACGCGAAGAACCUUACCAGGCCUUGACAUGCAGAGAACUUUCCAGAGAUGGAUUGGUGCCUUCGGGAACUCUGACACAGGUGCUGCAUAGCUGUCGUCAGCUCGUGUCGUGAGAUGUUGGGUUAAGUCCCGUAACGAGCGCAACCCUUGUCCUUAGUUACCAGCACGUUAUGGUGGGCACUCUAAGGAGACUGCCGGUGACAAACCGGAGGAAGGUGGGGAUGGCGUCAAGUCAUCAUGGCCCUUACGGCCUGGGCUACACACGUGCUACAAUGGUCGGUACAAAGGGUUGCCAAGCCGCGAGGUGGAGCUAAUCCCAUAAAACCGAUCGUAGUCCGGAUCGCAGUCUGCAACUCGACUGCGUGAAGUCGGAAUCGCUAGUAAUCGUGAAUCAGAAUGUCACGGUGAAUACGUUCCCGGGCCUU